AUGGCCCAUCCAGUUCAAUUAGGUCUUCAAGAUGCUUCAUCUCCUAUUAUAGAAGAACUACUUACCUUCCAUGACCACACCCUUGUCAUUGUUUUCCUAAUUAGUUCCCUGGUUCUAUACAUUAUUUCUGUAAUACUCAACAAAACUGACCAACAAUAGCACCAUAGAUGCCCAAGAAAUAGAGACUGUCUGAAUUAUCUUGCCUGUUAUCAUCUUAAUCUUAACUGCCCUCCCAUCCCUACGUAUGUUAUCUAUAACAGAUGAAGUCAAUAAGCCUUCUCUCACCGUUAAAACAAUUGGACAUCAAUGGUAUUGAAGCUACUAGUGUACAGAUUAUGAAGAGUUAAGCUUCGAUUCUUAUAUGCUUCCAACAGCAGACCUAAAACCAGAAGAACGUAGACUCCUUGAAGUCGAUAACCGAACAAUCCUCCCAAUAGAAAUUCCCAUCCACAUGUUAACCUCAUCUGAAGAUGUCCUGCACUCAUGAACUAUUCCCUCAUUAGGUUUAAAAACAGAUGCAGUCCCUGGACGCCUAAACCAAUUUACCUUAACCACUACACGACCAGGCCUCUACUGCAGACAAUGCUCAGAAAUCUGUGGAUCUAAUCACGGUGUUAUACCUAUUGUUCUAGAAUUAGUUCCAUUAAAAACUUUUGAA
rnacentral:lncRNA from 1 species